UCGCGUGGUCGCAGAGCACCAGAGAGGAGGUGCUGAAUUUUUUUUUUUAAAUUUCUUUUUCGUGUUUUUAGCUUUGGAUACCAAAUGGAUUAUUGAUAUCCCGCCUUCAGUAAAUCCAUUUGACACUUCAUUGCAAUGUCAACACACGCGAAUCAACACCUUGCGCAGCCAGACAAGCCCGUCCGACCCGGUAGCGGCCGUCGAGCACCCCGCACUUCUUCCCUUUGCACCGCCACGUAUUUGGAGAAGCAGCAGCCUGCGUUCAAGAUCGAGCCCGAGGAAAACAACAACGACCCUGUCAAAGUGAUUAUGGAUGUUAUUCCCAGCACUCCUGCGGUCCUGUCCGAAGUUUAAAAAGUCCCUCUCGACUCGCCUGAAUUUACUUACUGCCUCCCGCCCCACUUCCCUUUUGUUUUUCAUUUAACUUGUCUCGUUUUUGAGAAAUUUCGAUCUUUUAUUAAGUUUACAAGUCUUUCACGAAACAAA